UUUUCCUACUGCAGACCUGAGCACGACAGAAUUCACCUCGAGCCCCCAGUCGCCUCAGACGCCGGGCACCAGCGGGAACUUCCCCGCCCCGCGACGCCCGCGGCGAAAAGCAUCCCACGCGGACACUGCGCCCUAGCGAGGGGACGCGGGCCGCCCUGGCGCAGCCUCCCUUUCCCCGGGGGCGCAACCUCCCCCGGGGGUGCCUCUCCCCUCUGCGCAGCGCAGGGCACCCCGCGCGGACACGGCGCUCUCCCGAAGGGGACCCGGGGGCCGUCCCGGGAGCAGCCUUCCCUCCCUAGGGCGCAGCGCAUCCGGAGCAGAAACAGCACCCCCGGGGAGGGGACAGGGUUGUCCCCGGGGGCGCAGGCUCCCCUCCAUCCCGGGUUCGGUGUACACGCGCCGGGGCGCAGCUUCACUCUGGGAACGCAGCCUCCCUCCAUCCCGCGGCGCGGCGCGGCGCAGCGCAGCGCAUCCCGCGCUUAUGCGGCGCCCGGGGAGGAGACGCGGGGCCGUCCUAGGCGAAGCCUCCCCUGGCGGGCGGCCGCGGCCCCUCCGGACAGGGCUCGGGGCAGCACGGGUCCCGCUCGAGCCGCACGCCCGGCGCGGCCUCACCACCUGCCCGGCGGCGCUUACAUAAACGCGGUCGCGGCGCUGCCCAGCGCUGCCCGGCAGCGUGGUCGGGCCGUGGUGUCCGCCCGCGGUGUCCGAGCCCCGCCGUCCCCCCCAGACCCCGCCGCCCUGCCGCCCCCGCCAGCGCGCCUCACCUCAGCCGCGGGCCGCUCAGCUCCGCGCAGCUCAACGCCUGGGCUCGGACAGCGAGUCCGCGGGACUCUGCUCGGGCGCCGGGGGCUGCGGCGCGCUGGCCGUGGCCUGGCGCGGCCCCGAGCGCGCUCCCGAGCGCGCCCCCGAGCGCGGCCAGACCGGCCGCCGCCUCAGCCGUCGCCUCAGCCUUUGCCUCAGCCUCCGCCCUCCGCCCCCAGCAUCGGCUCCGCCCUCCCACCGCCCCCGCCGCCGGCCGCGCGCACGCCGGGGAGCGACGCCAAGACGCAGGAGGGCGCGCGCACGCAUGCCCCGCAGAACCCUGCCGGUAGUACGCGGAGGAUCGGGAGGACGCGGCGCCAGGGUGGGGAUGGGCUCCGGGGACCCGGGUGGGACGCGAGAAGCGGAAAACCCGGCGGGGCCCGCACCACGACACCCCGCCCUAAAGCAUGA
rnacentral:lncRNA from 1 species